GAGAAGUCCCGCACGGCGAGCGGCCGCAAGUGGCGUCGCGUCGUGCUGCGCGAAGUCCCGCCUGCCGUGGCCCCCCCCAUCGAGCGGUCGUCUGCACGGGCCUGUCGCAUUCAGAUUCCCGACUCGCGCUCUCCUCGCGCGCCGUUCCCAGCCGCAGACAUUCCCGUUGGCGAGUUCGCACCAACUCGGCUAUAACCGAGAGAGUGAGUGCGCGCGUUGUCCUCGGCCGUGUCGGAACACGAGGUUUGCCCUCUGCGGAGUGCUUUGUUUGAAUCGGCGUGCGAGCUCGUUGUGCGCGCACUAGUGUACGUGCCGGCCCGCUGCCGCAUGUUGAUGACUUAAUGGACUUCGUCUCGGUGGCUCGUUUGACACCUGUCGCGCUGUCAUCGUAGUUGGUGUACGUACGAGGAGCCUUGGCACUCCGCGCUGAUCAUGACCCUGAGCCGAAGACGAGUUGCAUUUUAUCUGCGGGACCGGCCACUCGCAGCGACGGGCGACUUGAAAAGAAGAAAGUAAAAAUGGGUCAUUGCAAAA